AUGUCUACGGCAUCACAGAAACGGUUGGCGGUUGAGGACAAUCGCCGGAGAAAAGUUUUCAGGGAUAUGAUGAACGAAGAUGUACUAAAUCCAAAAAAACAGUGUUGAUGAACUCGUGAUGGUGAAGAUUUCCGGUAAAUAUUCCGUGUAGAUUUGUUGCAGAUGGCCUGUUAAUCCCAGUGCAGAGGCAAAGUUGCUGAUAACGUGAUAUAAACCAAAUGGAAUUAUCUAUUAGAUUGCAAGUGAUUGUA
rnacentral:lncRNA from 1 species